rnacentral:rRNA from 1 species
AGCUCCAAUAAGGAAAACUAGAGUUGCUGUGUUUAAAAAGCUCGUAGUUGAAUUUCGGGUAUUUGUUGCUAGCUGGUCUUAAUGGCCAUGUUGGUUAACAGAUCCUCAUUUGCUGGACGGCUAGCGAUGAUCUUUAUCGGUUGUCGUUAGUUGCCAGCACGUUUACUUUGAGAAAAUUAGAGUGCUAAAAGCAGGCUCACGCCUAUAUAUAUUGCAUGGAAUAAUGAAAUAAGAUCUCGAUUUUAUUUCGUUGGUUUUAGAAAUUGAGAUAAUGAUUAAUAGGAUCAGAGGGGGGCGUACGUACUGUGGUGUGAGAGGUGAAAUUCUUAGAUUUGCCAAAGACAAACUACUGCGAAAGCAUCUGCCAGGGAUGUUUUCA